rnacentral:rRNA from 1 species
CACGUAGGGCGCAAGCGUUGUCCGGAAUUAUUGGGCGUAAAGAGCUCGUAGGCGGUCUGUUGCGUCCGCUGUGAAAACUCGGGGCUUAACCCCGAGCCUGCAGUGGAUACGGGCAGACUAGAGGUAGGUAGGGGAGAAUGGAAUUCCCGGUGUAGCGGUGAAAUUCGUAGAUAUCAGGAGGAACACCGGUGGCGAAGGCGGCUUGCUGGGACGGUACUGACGCUGAGGCGCGAAAGCGUGGGAGCAAACAGG